AAUGGCAGGUCAGCAUACUGCCGUGAAUACGUUCCCGGGCCCUUGUACACACCGCCCGUCACACCAUGAGAGUUGGAGAUACCCGAAGCCUGUGAGCUAACUUUUUAAGAGGCAGCAGUCGAAGGUAGAAUCAAUGAUUGGGGUGAAGUCGUAACAAGGUACC
rnacentral:rRNA from 1 species